rnacentral:lncRNA from 1 species
AAUAUUUUCAGCAUACAAAGCAAAUUCACAAAAUCUCUCAUUUUUACUUUGUUUCAGUAUUCUAAAAAUUGCUCUUUUGUUUUUGAGCUCUUUUUAGUUUUACCACAAAUAUUUUAUUUUGGUCAAAGUAAGAAUUUAUUUCUUAUUGCAUUGUAAAGCUUGUAAGUAACAAGUGUGUAAAAAGACAAGGUAAAAUCACUCGUUUGUAGGAAAAGAUCAGGAGGAUCUAGUAAGAGUGAUUUGUACUCGUUUGAUCUUUUGGUUGUAAAAGCAAAGGUAGAUUUACUCGUUUGCAGGAAAGAUCAGUCGGAUCUAGCAAGGGUAAAGGUUACUCAUUUGUGAACAAGGAAAAGAGGAGUUGUGGUUGACGUUAUUUAACGCAACUAUCUAGUGGAUAAUCUCACACUUGUGUGGGGAGUGGAAGUAGCCGGCGUUUGACGAACAACGAUAACUUUCGUGUGUCAUUUUUCUCUCUCUACUUACUUUUAAUUUAUUGUUCAAAAUCAUACACCUCACAGUUAUUAUUGUUAUUAUUAAUUUACUAACAAACUAAUCGUGAUUGAUAAAUUAAAAGAAAAUUUUUAUUAUGUAAAUUUUAAACAGAUCACAAUUCAAAGCCCCCUUUCUUGUGAAAAUAUUUUACUUCAAGGGCAUGGCGGUAUCAACGAAACACGGCGACGUCGCCGAGUUUGGGGCUCAGGCAGGAACAAUAUUAUCUGCCUGAAGAUAAUCCACCACAACAUCCUGUGGCACCUCCUCAUCAUCUGCCACCUCCUCAUCCUCUGCCUCCUCCUCCUCUUGCGGCUGAUAAAAUAUAUUCUCCUCCUCCAUCCGAUCAUAUCCCUGAAAUCUCUCCACAUACUCAUACGUUUGUGUCGGAUCAACCACCUGGGAAGAGUAAUCCAUCUGCGACUGUGAGCCCUCUCCAACUAGCCUCGAGUCCCUGCACUUCCGAGCCUUGGGACAUACGGGUUUUGAUCCACCUUCUCUCUCCGAGCGCUAGCGGUACUCACCUCUUUACCUUUACGCAUCCUGGCCUCUCUAAUAAACCGAUUAUGCUCAUCCUCCUCCCUAGCCAUAUCUUUACAAAACAAAUUAAAAAAAACACACAUAAGUGGACAAUGUAUUUAGGCAUUUCAAAGGAACGUAAAGGUAUACAAAAUAAAGGAUACAUAUUCUAGGCAUAUAUGAUUUUGAUUGAUAUUUGAUAGAUGUAUAUACAUUAUAACACACAAAUCCAAACUAAUCAUUAUAUCAAUAUGCUCAAAAUAUGGUUAUUAUAUCAUUAUGUCCAAACUAAUCAAACUUAUCAAAAAAAGCAAAACUACAA